GCUAAAAUUGUUUUUUUUAAGUAAAUAUUUACAUAAUAUUACCAAUAUUUUAUUUUUCCAUUCAAGUUUUAUUUCAAAAUUAAUAUUUCAAUUUUAAUAUUUUUUCUUACCACAAAAUGAAAAUAGAAAAUUUUCCUUAAGUCAUUUUUAUAUUAUUUACUAAAUUUUUUACAUUUUUUUCUUACAACUUUUAUUAUGAUAUUUUCCCCACUAAAUUUAAAUUCUGCAGUGGUCAGCUUUGUCUUUCAUCUUUCCAAAAAGCUGAAAAAAAAGUACCAUUUUAAGUACUAAAGUCAAUUUAAUUGACUACCCUCCUCUCUCCUAAAAUGUCUACUCUUAUGCCUGUGUUAGAAAUCAUUAUUUUUCAUUGCAGUUAUCUCUUUUCUAUGUAUAAUUUACCAUGUAGCCUUUUUAUUCAGUCAAAAUGAUUUUUAUAUAAAUAAUGGCUGGGAUAUUUCACACUAAUGCUUUUAUGCAAUUGCAGUUUAAGUUGCCUUACAUUUUUAUAAAACUGCACUGUAAAAAUUUGUAACAAAAAAAUUAAAUGUAAUCAAUUGCCAUAGUAAAAUAUUUAUAAAAUUAUUUUAAAUAUUUACAAAAAUAUUUUACUAAGGCAAUUAAGUAUAUAUAAUUUUUUAUAUCUUUAUAAAAUUGCAUUUGGUAUAAAAAAAUUAAUUUGUUUCUUAGUAUAUCUUUUGUCAGUUUUUAACCCCCAAAACAUCUUUUAGGAAAUAUAUAAAUUCAUAUUUUGUCUGGAUUUUCUUACAUUUCUUAUAUAUAAAAAAUGCUGUUUUACUUAUUAGGAAACUAAAUAUGUCUGUGUUUUGUUGGUGGGGUGAGAGCUGUAUACCAAAAUCUGAGUCAUUUAAAGGCAUUCAUAUUAAUAUUAAAAUUCUUCCAAAGAACAUGUGGUUUUUAUCAAACAAUGAUAUAAACAGUUAUCACAAUUUUUGAGCGUUUCCAAAUUCUCCAUUUCCAAACCCAGGCUUUGGUAUUGUCUAUCAUAUUAGAUGAAUUUAAAGUUCCUAUAUUUUAAUGUUGGCACUAAGGGCUUUAAAAUUUGUAGAAUAUAUUCUAACAUCCAUGGCAAUAUAAUAGAAUUACUCCCACUGAUUAGGAAAUGAAAACUUUGCCAUUAAAAUUUUUGUAGUUUUCAUUUUUUAAGAAGAAAGAAUACUUCCCUAAACUGUGGGGAAAGUUUGUACAGUUUUUUUUUUAUUUGUUUGUUGUUUUGUUUUUUAAUUAGCUGGAGAGUAAACAUGGGCAAUGAGGAAGUUCCAGAAAGAAGUAGUUCAUAAGAGAUAGGAUUUGGUAAAGUGUUUAUAGUGCAGAGAUUGGGUGACAAGAGGAAGAAAUUUUAUGUUCAUUAUGCAUAUUUGACACAAAGCUAUUGUGCUGAAGGAGAAUAGAACUUGCUGAUUAAGCAAGUGGUUGUGGGUGUUAGUAAGAGUAGACUUGCCUAUCAGAUAUCUUUCUCUAGCUGUAGUCUAGAAUGUGUUUAUUUAUGGGCACAAUCAAAAAGGAUGUUAUUUCAUUUGGUUGAGGUAGCUCAAUGUAUUUUUUCUUAAUUGAUGAUACCAACCAAAUUAAAAUUAUUUUAAUAUUGAUUUUAAAAACUUUGCUUUCUUAUGAACCAAAUAACAUUCUUAGCAUUUCUAACUUUCACUUCUCUUUAUCAUAUUUUUUUAAUUUACCAAUCAUUUUUUUUUCCUUCUUCCAAAUUAUCAAAAAUAUCAUCAUACAAAAUGUCCUUCAUAUAAGACUGCUUGAAGACUGACAUUGCUGUCUCAUCGUGUUAUGCCAAAAACAAAAAGAUAAAGGAAAAGUCUAAAUGCCGAUAUUGUUUUUAUUUAGUAUGACUGUUACUCUGUUAUGUCAACUUGCAUUCCCUCUUAAAUAUGCCUGCUUUUAUUCUAUUUGAAAAAAAAUGUAUAUAUAAAGUACAUAUUAAGUGUUAGUGUACUUUGCAGGCAUUACACCAUUCCUCCUCUUUUAUCACUCCUCUCUCCCUUUUACUCUGUAAUUUGUUAACAUGCAAUUUCAAGUUUCAGUAGACUCUUGAUCUCAUCAUUAUGGCAUACAGUAACUGUUCACUUGUGUCUUUAUUUCUAUUGUUAAAUAUUUAUCUCAAAUGUUACAAGUUGGAAAAAUCUUUCUGAGAGGUAUGAGUUUUGUAAAGCAAGAAGUAAACUACCAGUGAUCUGGAACCACAUUCCAGUUUCAGUUCCUGAUUGGAUUUUCUUUCCUUUCAUUUACACUACUAAUAGUCUUCAGAAAGACAUACAUGUCGCAACUUCUCAUUUCUUCUCUUUCCCAAAACAUAAGAUUUUGGUGCUUAGUCCAAAGAAAUCAAUAUUCUCUGGUUUUUUUUUAACCUCUGUUAACACUUGAUGGAGAAAAGUAUAAAAUGAGUCUAUGUAUUCUAGUCUCAUGAUUUUUUUUUUGUAAUACUUUUAUAAGUUUAUUUUUAUUUUACAGUUUUUAUUGUGAAGCAUUGUUAUUUAGUACUCUGUCCAUUACAAAUGUAUCAUCUGGGAAAUAGUCGUGUCUUUUUAAGAAUUUCAUGAGAAAUGUUUUUCUCUCUGUUUGGAAAUAAUUGUUAAUUGGUAACAUUUUUCAUUUUGACCAAACUGGAAAAUAAUUAUGACAGCUGAAAAUUGAGCCCUCUAUUGGUAGCAAAUAAAAAGAAAAAAGUUUUAAUGAUAUCUCUUUGUAUUUAUACUUCACAAUGUCAAUUGUUUAAAAUAACCUGCUCUAAAUAAAUAAAAAGGAAAAUCCAUUUGCAGCUCUCACUGGACUCUUUAAUUAGAUUUCAAUCAAACGUAACCUUUCUCUCAGGGAAAUACUAAAUAAUAUACACAUCUCAAACUAUAAUUAUAAAAUCAUGUAGCUGUCAUACAAAAUCAACAGUUAGUUUCAUAUUAACAGCUCUGUAGAUUAUUUUAUCAUUCAAAAUGUAGCUUUGAAAAUAUUUAAUUUUCGUGUUAGCAAUUUCAUAUUGAUUAUGCUAUUGUAUUUAUAGUUAACAAAAAAAACUUACCCCUUUUCAUUACAAAAUUAUCCUGUAUCUUGGAUUUUCCUCUUUUAAAAAGUAAAUUCACUGAUACUGCAUUAAUUCUUCAACUGUAGGAACUAUUAUAAAGUUAAAGUCAUACAGCACAAUUUUGUGGCUUACAACUCUUUGAUAUGUUUUACAUGGAUGACUGCUUAAGAACCAAGUGUCUUUAGCUCCAGUUGAAACCUAAACUGCUGAUCAUUGUGCUCAAUUUUGACAAUGAAAUGCUUCUAACUGAAUAUAACAUUUGGGUUUCAAUUUCAUACUGUAGGAGUUUUACAUAUUUAUAUACAUUUAUUUCUAACUUAUGGUGCUAUUUGAAAAGAAAAAUAUUUUCUUGUCUAAAUGUUUUCUUUUUGUUUGUUUGUUUGCACUGGAUAAGUAGGACAUGUAAAUUAAUGAAUGGUAUUUACUACUGAAUUUGAUCUCCUCACAAUUCAUACAGUACCCUUAUAAAGCAAACAUUUUAGGGCAACUGUGAUUUCAGGUCACACUGAAUCAGUGAUCUGGCUUUGGUUCUCAAUUGAAGUUGUUUUGCUUAUACUGGCUCUAAAUACCUUUGGAGAAGCCAUGAACAUCAUAGAGCCUUUGUAAUGAUAGAGAUGUAUUCAAAUAAAGAAAUAAUCUAAUUUGUACAAAUUUCAGAAUCUCCAAAUUUGGCAUUUUACAGUUUUUCAUUUACUUUAGUUUUUACACAUAAAUAAAUUAAAAUAAAACAGCUCUUAAAAUUAAUUUUUUAUAACUUUUAUAUAUUUCCUUUUCAAUUAACAAGAACUAAAUCUUGUACAACUUGAUCUUCUCAGUUAGACAGUGUAAUUAAAAAUAUUUGGAUAUACAUAAUUUAUUUGACAAAUUCUCAUUGCUGGCUGAGGCAAAAUGACUAAUUUAUUGAUUAUUGGUAACUUUCUUUUCAAUAAGUAUCUUUCAUUUUGAGCUGCCCUAAUUUUUAAGUCAACAGUUUUAUCUUCAAUUAUAAAAUUGUAUCUAUCACAGACGUGUAAAUCACUACACCUACUGUUUCACCUAAUAAAAUUUAUUUUGGUACAUUUCAUGACUUUUAGUUAAAUUUCAAUUAUUUGAUUUUAAAAUAUCAAUUAUUUUUUUAAAUUCUGAUACAUAUACCUAAUGUUAACACCACUGAGAGCUUGUAGGCUCCUGGCAAAUCUGCACCCAGUUUUAUUCACAGUUCCAUUUAUAUUUAACUUGUAUCUUGUUUCUGUAAGUGUAAUUGUUGAAAGAUGGGUUCCAUCAGACUUUUCCUCGACACACUUCAUGAAGACAGUCUUCAGUGCUUGUCCAAAAACCUGAUUGGUUACAAGGCUGUUAUGAUUUAAUUUCGUCCAACUUUAUUG
rnacentral:lncRNA from 1 species